rnacentral:rRNA from 1 species
CGUAACAAGGUCUCCGUUGGUGAACCAGCGGAGGGAUCAUUAAAGAGUUUUCUACAACUCCCAAACCCCUGUGAACGUACCUUCUGUUGCCUCGGCAGGCCUCGCCUACCCUCGUAGCCCCCUACACCGUAGGGCCUACGCGGGGGGUGCGGGGACCCUGCCGGCGGCCCGCAAAACUCUGUUUAGCACUGAAUCUCUGAACAUGCAACUAAAUAAGUUAAAACUUUCAACAACGGAUCUCUUGGUUCUGGCAUCGAUGAAGAACGCAGCGAAAUGCGAUAAGUAAUGUGAAUUGCAGAAUUCAGUGAAUCAUCGAAUCUUUGAACGCACAUUGCGCCCAUUAGUAUUCUAGUGGGCAUGCCUGUUCGAGCGUCAUUUCAACCCUUAAGCCCCUGUUGCUUAGCGUUGGGAGCCUACGGCAGCGUAGCUCCCCAAAGUUAGUGGCGUGGUCGGUUCACACUCCAGACGUAGUAGAUUUUCGUCUCGCCUGUAGUUGGACCGGUCCCCUGCCGUAAAACACCCCAAUUCUGAAAGGUGACCUCGGAUCAG